GGUUCUGUGGUCUAGUGGUUAUGACUGUUCGUUGUGGAAUGUCUUGUCCGAUUCCGAACCAGCCCGUGUUCGAUUCACGGCAGAGCCA